UGGUAUAAUUUAUAUGAUCCUGCAACUGUGCUAAUCUUAGUCCUUUUUUAUGUGUGUUUCAGAGAUGCAAAUCUGAAGGAUUCCAGAAAUUGUUGAAAAAAGGAAGAGAAUCCGAAGAUGUGAAGACAAAGAAUGCUGGUCGAUAUCUUAGUAAUAUCAUAAAGGAGAGAAAUAAAGAAGAAAUAUUUUGGCCCUAACCUGUAUGAGACUGUCGGUGAGAUCUGGAGAAUAUAUCAAAGACGAAUCUAUUGAAGAGGCAGCUGGAUCAUUAUGCGAUUUUAUCAUCGUAUAAAAGUAAGUUUCUUAAAAAAAAAAUUAAAAAAAAUUUAACUAUAACUAGGUUAUUACUACUACUACAAUAACUAGCAAAAUAUGUAUGGGUGAGCGCUUCUUUUCCAUAAACAAAAUUCGGAUGGUUUAAAGAAAAAUUUAAAAACUUAAAAAAAUAUGUGUGUUUUUUGGAUGUGUGUUGAAAAAACGAGGAACAAGGGGGAUUUUCGUGGCAAAGGAAACAUAGGAAAAGGGGAUUUUAAACUUUUCAUGGAUUAAGAGGGAAAGGUUAGAGUUUUUUGCUUGGGGAAAAGAAGAAAUUGUAUUCGUAUGUUUAAGACGUUGAGAGGAAAGGAUAAUUUUUAGAAUAUGAAGAAAGGGAAAAAACUUAAGUAAAAAAAAUUAAACUACAAAAAAUUGAAUGAGAAGAAAAAAAAAGGUUAAUAAUAAUAGUGCUAAUUUGCAGCUUUCGCUUAUAUAUAUAAGGUACAAUUGACACGCUAUCUUUUAUAUGGAGUAAUUUUUAUAUUGUAGACUAAUAAUAUUUUAAGAUAGGUGGAAUGUAUUGAUUAUCCUCGUGUUUUGUAAUUUUUUGUGUUUUGCAUGUGGUAUAUGGCACGAAUCAUGGCGUGGGGCGUCGUUGGUUCCAAGGAAUUUGUGACCGAUACAAGACUCGAUAGUCGUGGGCUCAUCUCGGUUCACUCGUCGUGUGACUUAUCAUGGGGCUUAAAAGCUCUUCCUGGGAUUUGGAGCGUGUACGUAACGUUCAUGGUUCUAGGUCACAUGGUUUAUACUGGAAUAUGCGUCGUGGGAGCUAUGGAGUGAAAACAUAAGGUGUUCGCUUUUUGGUGACUUAUGAAUUUUAUUUACAACUGGACCAUGCUUGAUUUUAAUAUUGGCGACGUAGUACGCAAUAUUAUUGAACUGGUUUUCUAUUGUUUCAAGGUGUUCGAGAAGGAAUGCGAAUCUGCUAGUUGGACGUUGGUAGGGUUUGGUUCAUUCUUGGGAAAUGGAAAUCGACAGAAUUCUGACCAGUUCCGGCCAGUACAGGCAUGUUGGAUUGGGAUUUUGACUGGGAAUAGGCAGCGACGAUUCAAUAAUUUUUAUACGUGAUUCGAUUUUUCACAGGUAAGAAGUAAAACAUAUUCUCAGCAUAUUGCUAUGCGAAUAUGUUUUGUAUUUCUUUUUAGUUUCAGGAAAUACCAAAGAAAAUGGAAUCGAAUUUUUCGUCUUAUGGUAAUUCGAAUGGUGGAAUCUAAAUGGAGCGAAAAGUUCUUGCGAUCGCAUACGUGGCGAUUGAAACGAGUAUCAGAGUGAUGGGUCUCGAGUUUUGGAUUCCAAUAUGUAAUUUUCAGUUUCAUAUAAAGUGAGUACAAAAAGUAUUUCCUAUAAUGUAAUAAGCGAAUAUUUUUUGUAACUCUUUCUCAGUUUCAGGAGGUACAUCUUGGAAUCAUCGAAGAUGGAAUCGAUUGCAAUUUGGAUUUUUCACAAUCCUAGAAUUAUGAAAAGUGGGGCUUUGAAAGUGAAAAGAAAUUACGAAUUAUCGAGAGCAGCAAACGGGCUGCCAAUCAUGAAAGGGUAUCCUAGGUUGCAUACGAAAGAAUCAGCAUGAUUUCGUUCAGCAGAAUAGAGUUCAGCAUGUAUUACUUUCGAGAUUACUGGCAUUUUCAUAUCGGAAAGGUGUAUUCGUGGGACAAGAAAGAACGAUUUCGAGUGAGCUUGGAAUAUACCCUAAACAUGUAGUUUUGUGAAUAUUUGUUGUUAUUCAUUUUUGAUUUCAGAAAGUAAAGUUUGAAAUUGUCGACAAUUCCGAAUUAUUUUGAUUUUUCAAGAAGCUACGUCUGAAUCAUGAAAGCAUAGAAGCGACACGAUCGACCAGAAAUUACCAUCAUGAACAUGUUGUUGAAUGCGAGCACGUUGGAUUCACGUUCGAACUCUAUGCACGUGGUUGUCGACGACGAGAACCGAUGAUGAACGAUUUUUUGGUUCGAAUUAAUGGCUCAGAGGGAUAUGAAUGAAAAACUCGAAAGUUUUAUGUACUGAGUUGGAUCUAGAUCCGUAUUUCGUAAUAUUGAACGAAUCGUGAUGGGAAAC